AUGAACGCUGGCGGCGUGCCUAAUACAUGCAAGUCGAGCGAACGGACGAGAAGCUUGCUUCUCUGAUGUUAGCGGCGGACGGGUGAGUAACACGUGGAUAACCUACCUAUAAGACUGGGAUAACUUCGGGAAACCGUAGCUAAUACCGGAUAAUAUUUUGAACCGCAUGGUUCAAAAGUGAAAGACGGUCUUGCUGUCACUUAUAGAUGGAUCCGCGCUGCAUUAGCUAGUUGGUAAGGUAACGGCUUACCAAGGCAACGAUGCAUAGCCGACCUGAGAGGGUGAACGGCCACACUGGAACUGAGACACGGUCCAGACUCCUACGGGAGGCAGCAGUAGGGAAUCUUCCGCAAUGGGCGAAAGCCUGACGGAGCAACGCCGCGUGAGUGAUGAAGGUCUUCGGAUCGUAAAACUCUGUUAUUAGGGAAGAACAUAUGUGUAAGUAACUGUGCACAUCUUGACGGUACCUAAUCAGAAAGCCACGGCUAACUACGUG
rnacentral:rRNA from 1 species